UACGAAGGGGGCUAGCGUUGCUCGGAAUUACUGGGCGUAAAGGGCGCGUAGGCGGACAGUUUAGUCAGAGGUGAAAGCCCAGGGCUCAACCUUGGAAUUGCCUUUGAUACUGGCUGUCUUGAGUUCGGGAGAGGUGAGUGGAAUGCCGAGUGUAGAGGUGAAAUUCGUAGAUAUUCGGAAGAACACCUGUGGCGAAAGCGGCGCACUGGACCACAACUGACGCUGAGGCGCGAAAGCUAGGGGAGCAAACAGG
rnacentral:rRNA from 1 species